UCGGGAAUAUCGUGUCCGUCCA
rnacentral:miRNA from 15 species